GCUGGAGUUGGUUGGAACUGGACUGGAACUACUAGAACGAAGGAGAAUAAUAGCAACGAGUGAGAUGCACGCGUGGACAGGAUGGAGGGUUGAACAGUUUCUGGAACCUCUUCCAUGAAUUCAGGCUCAACAUCUGACGGUCUAGUCAAGUUGGGCAUACAAUGAGCAGCGCCAUUGCUAUUUCUUGAGACAUGCACACGAGAGAAGCUCUGGAACUGAUCGGUAACAUCCUCUGUAAUGACAUACAGGUAGCUGUCAUCUACCACUUUGGUUCCAAGGAUUGCGGCAUGCAAUCUGUCUUCAAGAAUAACAUCAUGAAAGACUAGAAUCGACUGCAGCUGUCCUACCAGACUGUGACUUCUAUGAUGACCCCCAAACCUCCACCUCGUUGCUAUGUAUCCAUAUUUUAAGUACAUUUGUUUUAUGUUUUGCAAGGAAAGCAGGAUCUAAUCUAGAAAAAACUCCAAACCAUGCAGCACAAACGUUUUCUGACCAAA